GGCAGCAGACAUGGAAAGAAUGUUGCAACCUGACGCCACUUUAGCGGUACAAAGUCUAUGGAUUCAUUUGACGACUGAGCCGCCAUAGCAGCAGAUCACUGACAGAACAGCAGCAGCGAUACAAAGAGUCUCAGCUAUCAUACAGCAGAGAGGAAGACAAGCUGAGACAAAGAACAAAGACAGUGACACAGGAUGAGUAUCUACAGUUGUGUAACAAGAUGCUAUUAGUG